UGGACUAAGGGGAUUAGCACUGCUUUCCCAAGAUGAGUUUAUGUGAUUAUGAUCUUCAGGCUUUGCCUAACCAAGUUGGCUGGCUGGUGCUGACGGGACGGAGCUGAGGCUAGGGUUAAAUUCUUAUUUUAGACUUCCGCUGUAGCAAUUACUCAUAUCUUACUUUUAUUUCCCCAAUUUGAGAUUUUCAUGUUAAAUUUCAAAUGAUAUACCUGACAGAGCUUAGACUCUUCACUACUAAAUUUAUGCUAAUGAAUGUCGGUUGUCAGAAGCAUGAAAUAAAACUUGUGAUCCAAAGGGGCAUAGACCGACUUGAUAUUUUAUUAUUCGGUUUUAACAAGGUUUUUCCCUUGUUUAUUUCUAUGAAUUAUUCAAACCUCGAUUAUAUUUAUUUA